UACGGGGGGGGCAAGCGUUGUUCGGAAUUACUGGGCGUAAAGGGCUCGUAGGCGGCCAACUAAGUCAGACGUGAAAUCCCUCGGCUUAACCGGGGAACUGCGUCUGAUACUGGAUGGCUUGAGUUCGGGAGAGGGAUGCGGAAUUCCAGGUGUAGCGGUGAAAUGCGUAGAUAUCUGGAGGAACACCGGUGGCGAAGGCGGCAUCCUGGACCGACACUGACGCUGAGGAGCGAAAGCCAGGGGAGCAAAGCGGGG
rnacentral:rRNA from 1 species